rnacentral:rRNA from 1 species
UACGGGGGGGGCAAGCGUUGUUCGGAAUUACUGGGCGUAAAGGGCGCGUAGGCGGUUCGAUAAGUCCUGUGUGAAAUCCCCCGGCUCAACUGGGGAACUGCACAGGAAACUAGCGGGCUUGAGUUCGGGAGAGGGAAGCGGAAUUCCGGGUGUAGCGGUGAAAUGCGUAGAUAUCAGGAGGAACACCGGUGGCGAAGGCGCACAUCUGGCCCGAUACUGACGCUGAAGCGCGAAAGCUAGGGGAGCAAACGGG